CCUACGGGAGGCAGCAGUGGGGGAUAUUGCACAAUGGGGGAAACCCUGAUGCAGCGACGCCGCGUGUGGGUAGACGGUCCUCUGGAUUGUAAACCACUGUCCCCAGGGACGAAGAUGACGGUACCUGGGGAGGAAGCUCCGGCUAACUACGUGCCAGCAGCCGCGGUAAUACGUAGGGAGCAAGCGUUGUCGGGAAUUACUGGGUGUAAAGGGAGCGUUGGAGGGAUGGAAAUUAGUGUGGUAAUUCUACCGGCUAAAAUGGUAGUCGCACUCAAAACUGCUGUUCUAGAGUGAAGUUGAGGCAGGCGGAAUGCCUGGUGUAGCGGUGAAAUGCGUAGAUAUUAGGAGGAACACCAGUGGCGAAGGCAGCCUGCUGGGCUUUUACUGACGCUGAGGCUCGAAAGUGUGGGGAGCAAACAGGAUUAGAUACCCUUGUAGUC
rnacentral:rRNA from 1 species